GCUGAGCACAAUGGCAUGCAUUUGUAGUCCCAGUUGCUGGGAAGGCUGUGGCAGAAGGAUCACUUGAGCCCAGGAGUUCUGGGCUGUAGUGUGCCGUGCCAUACUACGUUCAGCAUCAAUACAGUGACCUCCCAGGAGUGGGGCAUCACAGGUUGCCUAAGGAAGGGCGAAUGGGCCCAGGUCAGAAAUAAAUCAGGUCAAAACUCCCAUGCUGAUCAGCAGUGGAAUCACACCUGUAAAUAACCACUGCACCCCAGCCUAGGCAACAUAAGGGCAUAACCCUGACUCUA
ensembl:misc_RNA Metazoa_SRP Metazoan signal recognition particle RNA